UUUAAAAAUUUAGGACUCAAAUUCUGAUCUUGUUUGCUGCGAAUUUUAGAUACACAGCGCUUAAAUAUUGUCGCAACCUUUAAGCUUGCCUUACAACCUUUGCAGUGUGUGUUAUAAUCUUUUACAGCACAUGUUAUAAACGUGCAUUGUUUGAGUUCCGCAUCAUCACUUAUGCCAUUCUGGUUUGAUCAAGCUAUUCAAUUGCCAUGUUAUUCGUGUUGUAGAUUGCAAGUGUACCAAUUUACAUGCAAGAGGUGUAUGGAGUGCUUGCUUAAAAAUUUCCAUAUUAUGGUCACAUUAUUUCACAUGCACCACUUAUGUAAUACUAGUAAAUGCAUUUUCAUAUAUAUGUAAGUGUACUCAUGCAUGUGAUUAUGUUACAAGUGAAGGCAAUUUUGGUGGGAGUGUAAAGGCACUUCAUACACCGUGCGGUUGUAAUUGUCUAUUUGGCAUUCCAUAAUUUUAUCGUCUGCGAAGAUUGUAAUUUUUGGCCCAAAACUGGGGCACGUUAUGGCGAUGGAAAAGGAAUUGCAUCGUUAAUCGGCAUAUUAUUUAUGCCUGCCUGAGACUUUGGUAACAAGUGGCACAGUGUUUUUACGGGAAUCUAAGGAACAAAGUGAAUCAGCAAGCCAAAGAGUCAGCUUUGACCAUGAUGAAGAGACUAGAUUCAAUAAAGCUGUUUUGACUAUUGUUUACCCAGUA